GACGAACCGUGCGAGCGUUGUUCGGAAUCACUGGGCUUAAAGGGCGCGUAGGCGGGCGAGCAAGUCCGGGGUGAAAUCUUUCGGCUCAACCGGAAAAGUGCCUUGGAUACUGCUCGUCUUGAGGGAGGUAGGGGCCUGUGGAACUUCUGGUGGAGCGGUGAAAUGCGUUGAUAUCAGAAGGAACGCCGGUGGCGAAAGCGACAGGCUGGCCCUCUUCUGACGCUGAGGCGCGAAAGCCAGGGGAGCAAACGGG
rnacentral:rRNA from 1 species